rnacentral:tRNA from 2 species
GGGGCCUUAGCUCAGCUGGGAGAGCACCUGCUUUGCACGCAGGAGGUCAGCGGUUCGAUCCCGCUAGGCUCCA